AAUUACGUAAAUUACCGUGUCCAUUUACAAACGAUGAUUAAAUCGGAUGGUGGUUAUUAAUCUUCACUCUAGUGAUAUAAAAUAUCGAUUCGUGAUUUGUGAUAUUACCAAUGAAGAUUAUUUUUACCACACUGCGGUGCUUAAUUUAAACGCUCUAUGGCGAAAUGCGACGUAAUUAGAAAGGUUUUUGUCUGGUGUUUAAUUUUACUUUAUCUUACAUACGAUGUCCAAACAAAAGAGAAAGUUAAGAAACAGAAAUAUAUUAAACACAAGUAUAAAUGCUUUAAUGUUGGAUUUCGGUGUAUCCACGAUUACGAUUGCUGCACCUGGAAAUGCAACAUUGGUGCUUUCUCUGUUUACGGGAUAUGCGAGAUUUUGGACAAAUCUAAAGCUGUAACUCAAAUGCCAUUACAGAAACAGUAGGUAAAUCACAAAUCUAUGCCUGUAGAUAUGUUAAAUAACCUAUUUUACAUUAUUUACAAUUAUAAUUUCAAUGUUAUGUAGGCCUAAAUAAGUUACAAUAAAAUGUGAAAUUCGUAUUACAUAAUGUACAUGCUGUAAGAUUUAGGAUUGUUAAUAUAUAUAUAUUGGAGUUCCAGAAUACAUAUUUACCUGUAUAUGUUAAAAAGACACAAACUGUAGAAUAUGGAUAUUUUUAUUUUCUACUAUUAUACCGGAUUAUAAUAUACUGUGUUAAAUAUGUAGUCUUUUGAACCUUAUUAUAAGAUGUUAUAAACAUUUUCCUAACAGUUAAAAUUUAAGAAAAUAAUAAAAAAGAUUAAAACAA